AGGAGAGUUUGAUCCUGGCUCAGGAUGAACGCUGGCGGCGUGCCUAACACAUGCAAGUCGAACGGAGAUUUAACGCUGAUGAAGCUUCGGCAGAUUCUUGUUAAAUCUUAGUGGCGGACGGGUGAGUAACGCGUGGGCAACCUGCCUCAUACUGGGGGAUAACAGCUGGAAACGACUGUUAAUACCGCAUAAGCGCACAGUAUCGCAUGAUACAGUGUGAAAAACUCCGGUGGUAUGAGAUGGGCCCGCGUCAGAUUAGCCAGUUGGCAGGGUAACGGCCUACCAAAGCGACGAUCUGUAGCCGGCCUGAGAGGGCGGACGGCCACAUUGGGACUGAGACACGGCCCAAACUCCUACGGGAGGCAGCAGUGGGGGAUAUUGCACAAUGGAGGAAACUCUGAUGCAGCGACGCCGCGUGAGUGAAGAAGUAUUUCGGUAUGUAAAGCUCUAUCAGCAGGGAAGAAAGACUCGUAAGAGAGAUGACGGUACCUGACUAAGAAGCCCCGGCUAACUACGUGCCAGCAGCCGCGGUAAUACGUAGGGGGCAAGCGUUAUCCGGAUUUACUGGGUGUAAAGGGAGCGCAGACGGCUUAGCAAGUCUGAAGUGAAACCCCACGGCUCAACCGUGGGCUUGCUUUGGAAACUGUUAAGCUAGAGUACUGGAGAGGUAAGCGGAAUUCCUAGUGUAGCGGUGAAAUGCGUAGAUAUUAGGAGGAACAUCGGUGGCGAAGGCGGCUUACUGGACAGCAACUGACGUUGAGGCUCGAAGGCGUGGGGAGCAAACAGGAUUAGAUACCCUGGUAGUCCCCU
rnacentral:rRNA from 1 species